AGUGAACGCUGGCGGUAGGCCUAACACAUGCAAGUCGAACGGCAGCACAGUAAGAGCUUGCUCUUACGGGUGGCGAGUGGCGGACGGGUGAGGAAUACAUCGGAAUCUACUUUUUCGUGGGGGAUAACGUAGGGAAACUUACGCUAAUACCGCAUACGACCUACGGGUGAAAGCAGGGGAUCUUCGGACCUUGCGCGAUUGAAUGAGCCGAUGUGGGAUUAGCUAGUUGGCGGGGUAAAGGCCCACCAAGGCGACGAUCCGUAGCUGGUCUGAGAGGAUGAUCGGCCACACUGGAACGGGGACACGGUCCAGACUCCUACGGGAGGCAGCAGUGGGGAAUAUUGGACAAUGGGCGCAAGCCUGGUCCAGCCAUACCGCGUGGGUGAAGAAGGCCUUCGGGUUGUAAAGCCCUUUUGUUGGGAAAGAAAAGCAGCAGGUUAAUACCCCGCUGUUCUGACGGUACCCAAAGAAUAAGCACCGGCUAACUUCGUG
rnacentral:rRNA from 1 species